UACGUAGGUGGCGAGCGUUGUCCGGAUUUAUUGGGUUUAAAGGGUGCGUAGGCGGCCCCGUUAGUCAGCGGUGAAAUACGGCAGCUUAACUGUCGAGGUGCCGUUGAUACUGCGGGGCUUGAGUGCGGUCGAGGAGGGCGGAAUUGACGGUGUAGCGGUGAAAUGCUUAGAUAUCGUCAAGAACACCGAUAGCGAAGGCAGCCCUCCAGGCCGCAACUGACGCUGAGGCACGAAAGUGCGGGGAUCAAACAGG
rnacentral:rRNA from 1 species